rnacentral:rRNA from 1 species
AUUAACGCUAGCGGCAGGCAUAAUACAUGCAAGUUGAACGGCAGCACAGGUAGCAAUACUGGGUGGCGAGUGGCGCACGGGUGCGUAACACGUAUGCAACCUACCCUAUACAGGCGAAUAACCUUUAGAAAUGAGGGCUAAUACGCCGUAGUAUUACAGAUGGGCAUCUAUUUGUAAUUAAAGAUUUAUCGGUAUAGGAUGGGCAUGCGUCCCAUUAGUUAGUUGGUAAGGUAACGGCUUACCAAG